rnacentral:rRNA from 1 species
GACGAACGCUGGCGGCGUGCCUAAUACAUGCAAGUAGAACGCUGAAGGAGGAGCUUGCUUCUCCGGAUGAGUUGCGAACGGGUGAGUAACGCGUAGGUAACCUGCCUGGUAGCGGGGGAUAACUAUUGGAAACGAUAGCUAAUACCGCAUAAGAGUAGAUGUCGCAUGACAUUUGCUUAAAAGGUGCAACUGCACCACUACCAGAUGGACCUGCGUUGUAUUAGCUAGUUGGUGAGGUAACGGCUCACCAAGGCAACGAUACAUAGCCGACCUGAGAGGGUGAUCGGCCACACUGGGACUGAGACACGGCCCAGACUCCUACGGGAGGCAGCAGUAGGGAAUCUUCGGCAAUGGACGGAAGUCUGACCGAGCAACGCCGCGUGAGUGAAGAAGGUUUUCGGAUCGUAAAGCUCUGUUGUAAGAGAAGAACGAGUGUGAGAGUGGAAAGUUCACACUGUGACGGCAGCUUACCAGAAAGGGACGGCUAACUACGUG